rnacentral:rRNA from 1 species
CCUACGGGUGGCAGCAGUGAGGAAUAUUGGUCAAUGGUCGGGAGACUGAACCAGCCAAGCCGCGUGAGGGAUGAAGGUACAGCGUAUCAUAAACCUCUUUUGUCAGGGAACAAAGCCGGGUACGUGUCCCCCUAUGCGAGUACCCGAAGAAAAAGCAUCGGCUAACUCCGUGCCAGCAGCCGCGGUAAUACGGAGGAUGCGAGCGUUAUCCGGAUUUAUUGGGUUUAAAGGGUGCGCAGGCGGAGGAUCAAGUCAGCGGUAAAAUUGAGAGGCUCAACCGCUUCGAGCCGUGGAAACUGGUGUGCUUGAGUGAGCGAGAAGUAGGCGGAAUGCGUGGUGUAGCGGUGAAAUGCAUAGAUAUCACGCAGAACUACGAUUGCGAAGGCAGCAUGCCGGAGCGCAACUGACGCUCAUGCACGAAAGUGUGGGUAUCGAACAGGAUUAGAUACCCCAGUAGUC